rnacentral:lncRNA from 1 species
CUCCUCUUCCACCAUAGCCUCCUUCUGCCUCUAUUUUUCUUCCUCUUUACUCCUUCUCCCUUCCUCACCCCUAGUAAUGUCAUUUUAGUUCAUAUUGUUGUGAGUAAAGUCAUUUUAGUUAAAGCAUAGUAAGCAAUAUAAAAUACAACAUUAGAGAGCUUUAAUGACUACAUAAUAAUUAUAUCAUAAAUGCAUAAGAACUUCUUCCUGAUAAAAUUACACAUUCAAUAUCAAGGGUUUGGAUUGCAUACUUGGCUUCAUCACCCUUUCUAGAGCCAAUAUGAAGCCUUUGAUUUCAAUAAGCAAGCCUAAACAAAAUUUUGGAUCAGUUAGCAUAACUAGAAUCUUGAUUACAACUCUAGAAAGCUACUGUAAGUUCAAACUAGACAGCAUAAGACCUGAUAACGAAGAAAAUUCAUUCUACAUAUCGCAAUUGUGGUUACCCAAGAAAUGAAGAGAAUAAAACCAUUUAUAAGUUACUCAGAACAAACACACUCAAUUGUGAAAAACCCAUGGUCAAGGAGAGUUUAUAGAUCAUUAAAUUUUGGUUAUACUAUUCCACAGCAAUUUUGGAAAGGAGAAUGGAACGACCCAAAUUAUAAGAGUGUUAUCUGGUCAAUAAGUUACUCCCUAAUUUCGCCGGAACAAACACACUCAAUUAGAAAAAAUCUAAGAUUGAGAAGAAUUUAUAGAUCAUUAAAUUUUGGUUGUACUAUUCCAUAGAAAUUUUGAAAAAGAGAAAGCAAAUAGCCUAUAUUAUAGGAGUGUCAUAUGGUCACUAAUCAUUCUCAAGAAUAUGACGAAUAACAACCACCAAGAGAGAACUCCAAGAUCACAAAAAAGGUAGCUUUGCAUUUAAUAUUUCUAUUUAAGGCCACAAAAAAAAUCGAAAAUUACAUUUGCUUUCAUAAUUUCAGACUUGUUGAGAUUCUCUGAUUUUUUUUUUUUAAUUUCUCUAACCCAAUUCCCUAGCUUCAAGAGACAUUAACGUAACCAAAGAACCCGUCAACACCAAAGCUUAUUCAGCCAGAUAGAAAGCAACUACGAUUGUGACUAUUUGAAUUUAAAUCACAACAAUUGAAAAACUCAACAUUAUACAACCCCAAUAAAUAUAACCAAUCAUACAACAUCUCAAUGGAUGACAAUAGCUAUCCAUGAUGUCUUCAUCUGGUAGUGUUGUUGACAACACUGGAUGACUUUUAUGAAUCUUGAAGGAGACAUAUAUAAAGAGAUGCACAAAUUACUAAAUAUGACAUGUCAUGUAAGACUAGAUAAGCGACAUCAAUAAAAUAUUUCCUAUGUAAGAUUAAAGAAUGGAGUUCAAGUUAGAAAGAUGCCUUAGAAAGAUAUAUUUUAUGAAUUUCAUCAUUCAAUGACACAUCCAAAGCAAUAAUAUACUCCUAGAUUCUAAACUUCUAGAAAUGCACACUUAGAGCAACCAUAGAACUAUUUGCUGUAUCAUGAUCAAUGGGGGAAAUAGAAACAUACUUUUGGCAAGUGUAACAUCAUGAGCUAAUUGUGCAAAUUCUUCAAGUGAUUCAUCAACAGCAAAUGGUGAUGUUGAUAAUUUAGUGCCUUUACAUUCAACUCCAACAAGGUAGGCUUCCUCUUGACAAACCUAUAUUCUUAAUAUGAUAAUUCUUUAUUUUUAAAAUGAUGAAAAAAUGAGCUACAUAUCAGUUUGUAAUAUAUUUUGCCAGAAAAGUGCAAAUUGAAAAAGACGCAAAUAAAAGAGAAAAAACAAAGGCUAAAGGAAUUGAAAUGUGUCUAAAUAUAUUAUUCAUGAAUGAUCUAUGAUAAAAGAAUAUCUAGGAUGCAAUUCAAGAGUGAGAUAAUGUCUGUUUUUUCUUUCUUAACAAAAACACUAACAGAAGUCAUAAUUCCUGUAUAGUAAUUAUCAAUAAUUCGCAAGAAAGGUUACAUAAUGUUAAGAGGCAAGCCAGAAGAGCAAGUAAAAUACUAAUGACUUUUCAAUAAUCAAAUUUGAAAAACCACUAGAGAUAUUCUCUAGUCAAGGUAAUAUAAUAGCUUCAACAAAAAAAGAUACUCAAACCUGAUUCUCAAAUUCUAUAAGUGAAGCAUCUUUGCUCUGAGUGUCUUUGUCCCUGAAUAAACAAAUAAAGAAUGUGCCUUGAUCAUAAAAUAAAAGAAAUAUAAUCCUCAACAUAUGAGUAAAGCAUCACAAAUGGCAGUCUAUAAGAAAGUUGCUGUAGGUGAAAUUCUCUGCGUAGCAUGAACCAUGAAGCAAUUUGCUAACUUAAUCAUCAUGGUGAUUAUAAUCAAAAGAUGUUAGGCAAAUCUAUUGUACAAAACUGAAAACAAAUGAGGCCUGCACUGAUAUGAUUACUAAGUUGACAUAAAGAAGUACAUCACGUUGCAUAUCAACUCAUGAAUAACAUAAAUUUGAUAUGAAAGAAAAAUUGAAUCUGGUUAGCAUCAAAUAAAACUAUGUAGCAAAAUUCCUAUUCAAUAAAGCUA